rnacentral:tRNA from 1 species
GCUCCCGUAGUGAAAGGGAAUCACGCAGGUUUCCGGAGCCUGAAGUCCACGUUCGAAUCGUGGCGGGAGUG